UUCAUACUCGUGGCGAAAAGCUCAGUAACACGUGGCCAAACUACCCUACAGAGAACGAUAACCUCGGGAAACUGAGGCUAAUAGUUCAUACGGGAGUCAUGCUGGAAUGCCGACUCCCCGAAACGCUCAGGCGCUGUAGGAUGUGGCUGCGGCCGAUUAGGUAGACGGUGGGGUAACGGCCCACCGUGCCGAUAAUCGGUACGGGUUGUGAGAGCAAGAGCCCGGAGACGGAAUCUGAGACAAGAUUCCGGGCCCUACGGGGCGCAGCAGGCGCGAAACCUUUACACUGCACGCAAGUGCGAUAAGGGGACCCCAAGUGCGAGGGCAUAUAGUCCUCGCUUUUCACGACUGUAAGGCGGUCGUGGAAUAAGAGCUGGGCAAGACCGGUGCCAGCCGCCGCGGUAAUACCGGCAGCUCAAGUGAUGACCGAUAUUAUUGGGCCUAAAGCGUCCGUAGCCGGCCACGAAGGUUCAUCGGGAAAUCCGCCAGCUCAACUGGCGGGCGUCCGGUGAAAACCACGUGGCUUGGGACCGGAAGUCUCGAGGGGUACGUCCGGGGUAGGAGUGAAAUCCCGUAAUCCUGGACGGACCACCGAUGGCGAAAGCACCUCGAGAAGACGGAUCCGACGGUGAGGGACGAAAGCUAGGGUCUCGAACCGGAUUAGAUACCCGGGUAGUCCUAGCUGUAAACGAUGCUCGCUAGGUGUGACACAGGCUACGAGCCUGUGCUGUGCCGUAGGGAAGCCGAGAAGCGAGCCGCCUGGGAAGUACGUCCGCAAGGA
rnacentral:rRNA from 1 species